CACCGCGGUUAUACGAGCAGGCCCAAAUUGACAGCCUUCGGCAUAAAGCGUGGUUAAUAAAAACCUAAACUAAAGUCGAAUCUCAGCAGAGCUGUUAUACGCCUAUUGAGGAGUGGAAGCCCAACAACGAAAGUGACUUUAAGACUUAUGAACCCACGAAAGCUAUGGAA
rnacentral:rRNA from 1 species